GGCCGAGCAGCGGCGCCUGGCAGAGCAGCUGAGCCCCCCAGACCCGGCGGGCGGAGGCGGGGACGGACGGGCUCACGGGGUGUGGGACCGGGACUCACGUGACCCG
rnacentral:miRNA from 1 species